UCCUAAUCCCUGAGACCUCAUUUGUGAGAGAACUUUCAGAAGCUCACGAUAUGAGUUCUCAGGGCACAGG
rnacentral:pre_miRNA from 12 species